UGAUGAUUAAUUGACUGCAAA
rnacentral:miRNA from 1 species